rnacentral:rRNA from 1 species
GAUGAACGCUGGCGGCGCGCCUAGUACAUGCAAGUCGAGCGAACAGACGAGGAGCUUGCUCCUCUGACGUUAGCGGCGGACGGGUGAGUAACACGUGGAUAACCUACCUAUAAGACUGGGAUAACUUCGGGAAACCGGAGCUAAUACCGGAUAAUAUAUUGAACCGCAUGGUUCAAUAGUGAAAGACGGUUUUGCUGUCACUUAUAGAUGGAUCCGCGCCGCAUUAGCUAGUUGGUAAGGUAACGGCUUACCAAGGCAACGAUGCGUAGCCGACCUGAGAGGGUGAUCGGCCACACUGGAACUGAGACACGGUCCAGACUCCUACGGGAGGCAGCAGUAGGGAAUCUUCCGCAAUGGGCGAAAGCCUGACGGAGCAACGCCGCGUGAGUGAUGAAGGUCUUCGGAUCGUAAAACUCUGUUAUUAGGGAAGAACAAAUGUGUAAGUAACUAUGCACGUCUUGACGGUACCUAAUCAGAAAGCCACGGCUAACUACGUG